AUCCGCUUCCCCGCGCGUAGGGUGUGGACCCGGUGUCGCUACUCCUUCCCCCUCGCGAGAUCCAGGAACCAAUCACGCUCCCUUCCCAUGCGAGAAUCCCUCUCUCCCGUGCUCCUCACCACGCAUGCCCACGCCGCCGCCUCCUCUCCCUCAAUGUCGCACUUGCGUCGUCUUCGCUCACACCGGACAGAUGAGCCCUGGAUCCCACCGCGUCGUCAUCGGGAGAAGCCAAGCCUGAACUCCGUCGCCUGAACGCCGUCGCCUGCUCUUCCUCCUCGUCGCGCCUGCACCAUCGUCCUUGCAAUGUGUGCCCAUGUGGCCUUGGCUCUGCAACGCCGUCUUCCUUGCCAUGGACACCCGUUCCAUGCGGCCUUGGCCCCUCCCCCUUUGCUGGCGCGAGCGCAGCAACUCGGUUGCAGCCUUGGCGUGGCGCUCGAGGUAGCCAUCGGAACUAGGCACAACAACGGCGGGCAAAGGUUCGCUGCAAUAGUCAGAUCCGGUAAGUCCAGGGUGCCUACACUCGAUUUACGCCCUGCCCUUGCUCACCCGCCUUUCUGAGCUCUCCACGUCUUGAAUCCACGGUGGACAUGAAGAAGUAACUAUCAGAUGGCAAAAAGCUGGAGCCUGAUGUGGACUAGGCGAGUAGCAUCAGCGAUGAGCAGGACCUCUGUGUAGGUGCUAACUGUUGCAGUCUACAACCACUAUAAACGGAUAUACCAUCAACCUUUACAAAAGGGGUCAGUUUCACUUUGCUGUGUCAAUUUGUCUUUUCUGCAAAUAAUGAAUGAUAUUCAUUUCUGCACCCAUAGAAACUGGAGUUCAUAAAUAUAGUUCAGUGACUAAUUAUGUGGUAUAUAAGCUAGGUAGGUCUGGAGCAGAUUUGGGUGGGUUUAAUGGUAAACCAGAUGUCGGCAAUAAUGUCGAACUAGAGAAAAACAAUGUGCUAUUAAUGGGACCUAUUUUCUCUGCUCUGGUAAGGCAUUUGUAACUAUUUAAAGCAAUGUGCUAAUGCCGUGAACAAUGUGCAACCAUUUAAAACAAUGAUAUUUUAGCUAUUAUAUAAUUUUGGCCUUGGUAUAUAGUUCCAGCCGUCCUUUUCUACUCAUAUGCUUGCUAAAUUAAGUGAUUUAGUUAUUGCAUUUGUUUCUUUGCACGCUUCUCAAGAGGAUUAUUUCCGUUUACCGCUUGACACAAGGCUCCUGGUUGAACUUCCCAGAUGUGUGUUACCUUUCAGCUGCUAAUUUUCAUUGUUUUUCUGAUGGGUUAACCUGCAGCAAGUUGUGUCCUUCUGAUAAGGUUCUCUUUAUGUAAGAAGAAAAAACAUAUGACCUACUGACUUUUCUGUAUGCAAAAUAAAAUUAUAGUUUUGUUUGAUUAUUGUAAAAAUGUCUAGCAGAUUGAUUAUAAAAGGACAGUUUUGUUUGAUCAUAAUAGAGAUCAUAAUUGGGUGAAUGAGAAUUGACAAAUGAUUCUUUUAUCCAAGUACCUUCUAUUUCUGUACCUAUGUUGUAUGUCAGUGUAGACCCUUGAAAUUUCUUUCAUUUUGUAAUAUAUAAUCAAGUCAUGGUGCCCUGAAAUUACCAUAAGAAACGGUGGAAGAAAAAUUGAUUAUUAGAUAAAUGCUAUUAAUAUCAAAGUCACGUCAACAAUACAGCUUUAUAUGUAAAAACUCAGUCUAUGAUCGGAUGCCAAAUAAAGAGGGUAUAAAGAAAUUACAUAACCACACUGUUAUGAUGUGACUACUAAUUUCUCACUUAGGAUAUGGCAACCAUGCACAUCAGAGAGAUUGAAGUAAUCAAGAACUACGAAUUUAGUUCAUACUGGUAUGCUAUGUUUACAUGGUAUGAUCCCAACAUUUUCUCUAUUGAAUGCUUAAAUGGCGUGUUUCCUUUCUUUAUGUAAUGUGUUCAUUCAGGCUGCUGCUUUUUUGUCCAUGGCGGCCAUCGGUACGUAGAACUUCCAAUUAAGCUAGCAAUCUAGCAUCGAGGAGAUCAAACAUACAUUUCUAUCAACUUCUGCAAGCAUUCUCUUUAUUGGUUCUUCUAAAGUAAUCAUGUUCCUGUUUACAUGGUAAGAGGUAAACUACAAUAAGCUGCAAAAAGGAUAUUGGUAGGCUCUCUAACCUCAAUUCAGAAUCUUGCUAAGUUUAUAUCUAUGGUGACAUCUAAGUCCAGCUUGAGCAUUUGAGUAUACAUUUUUCUUUUUUUUCUUUUUAUAAUUUCCACAUCGCUUUUUCAGUAGCUAUAAGCAUUAAGAACACAACGAUUCAUGAGCAGAGUGCUGGUGGUGGCCUCUCUUCACUAAGUUAAAAAGGUCCUCUUUUCAUGUCCCUUGCUAUUUUUGCAUUCAAACAGGAAUAACCAGAAUGUUAUCAAAUCAAGGCCAUAACUGACAUGAUAAUUUUAGAGCAUGAUGCCCUAAGGUUGUUUCCUACUUAUCCUAUCUCUCUCUGCUUUUCUCAUAUGGUUUUAGAUGUAAGUCACAGUCGGCGUGUCCUUGAUAUUGUUUAACCUCUAGAUGACCACUUUUGAGCUAUCAUAAUUUUAGAUCAUGCCACUUAGGUGUCAUUCGAAUACUAUAUCAUUUGCCUGAUCAUAAAGGAUAUUGGAGCCAUUUACAAUAUGCAAGAAUAUCUGAAUUUUGAUGAUACAUGAUAUCUUAUUUGUUAUUAGCAGUAUGGUUUCCAUUGUUACACUGUGGCAUAAUCUCAUAUAUUAGGCUCUAUCAUUAUAUGAGGAAAGCUAAUCUCCAUUGUUAUUAGUAUGUAUGAAUUUUAAUUCAUCCUAUGCAUAUGGCUUACAUGAGUUUUUUUCCAUGAAUAUGGACUGGUGGGCACCAUGGAGGAGACUUGAGGCUCCAUUGAUGUUCUGAAGGUUUUUGAUUCCCUGUAACUCUUCAGCGCGUAGUAGUGAAAGUUUUUUGGAGCACGAGAAGAUAUUGUAAUGUGUUUGGCUAUUUGUGAUGUCUAAUGUAUCUCAAUGAUCCAUUAUUUUAGGAAAAAAAUGUAAAUCACCUUCCAUAAGAUAGCCAAUAGCAAGACUGGAAUGACUGCCUCAUCAUACUUAGAGAAUCAUUUUUUAUAACAGUUAAACAUUAAAUAUGAAGGGAGGCCAUCGUAUACCA